rnacentral:rRNA from 1 species
GCCUAACACAUGCAGUCGAGCGGAAACGACAUUAUUGUCUCGUCGGAGGAUGUGAUGGGCGUCGAGCGGGGGUACGGGUGAGGAAUGCCUAGGAAAUUGCCUUGAUGUGGGGGAUAACCAUUGGAAACGAUGGCUAAUACCGCAUAAUGCCUACGGGCCAGAGAGGGGGAGCUUCGGACCUCUCGCGUCAAGAUAUGCCUAGGUGGGAUUAGCUAGUUGGUGAGGUAAUGGCUCACCAAGGCGACGAUCCCUAGCUGGUCUGACAGGAUGAUCAGCCACACUGGAACUGAGACACGGUCCAGACUCCUACGGGAGGCAGCAGUGGGGAAUAUUGCACAAUGGGCGAAAGCCUGAUGCAGCCAUGCCGCGUGUAUGAAGAAGGCCUUCGUGUUGUAAAGUACUUUCAGUUGUGAGGAAGGGUGUGUAGUGAAUAGCUGCGCAUCUUGACGUUCGCGCCAGAAGAAUCACCGGCUAAC